rnacentral:rRNA from 1 species
UACGUAGGGUGCGAGCGUUAAUCGGAAUACUGGGCGUAAAGCGUGCGCAGGCGGUGAGCUGUGUCCGAUGUGAAAGCCCCGGGCUUAACCUGGGAAUGGCAUUGGAAACUGGCUCGCUGGAGUGUGGCAGAGGGGGGUGGAAUUCCGCGUGUAGCAGUGAAAUGCGUAGAGAUGCGGAGGAACACCGAUGGCGAAGGCGGGUCUCUGGGCCAUAACUGACGCUGAGGAGCGAAAGCGUGGGGAGCGAACAGG